rnacentral:rRNA from 1 species
AACGAACGCUGGCGGCAGGCCUAACACAUGCAAGUCGAACGUGAAGCCACCUUCGGGUGGUGGAAAGUGGCAGACGGGUGAGUAACGCGUGGGAACGUGCCUUUCGGUUCGGGAUAACCCAGGGAAACUUGGGCUAAUACCGGAUACGCCCUCCGGGGGAAAGAUUCAUUUGCCGAAAGAUCGGCCCGCGUCGGAUUAGCUAGUUGGUGGGGUAAAAGCCUACCAAGGCGACGAUCCGUAGCUGGUCUGAGAGGAUGACCAGCCACACUGGGACUGAGACACGGCCCAGACUCCUACGGGAGGCAGCAGUGGGGAAUAUUGGACAAUGGGCGCAAGCCUGAUCCAGCCAUGCCGCGUGGGUGAAGAAGGCCCUAGGGUUGUAAACCCCUUUCAGCGGGGAAGAUAAUGACGGUACCCGCAGAAGAAGCCCCGGCUAACUCCGUGCCAGCCGCCGCCGUAAAAC